UCUAUUGGGGGCUGGAUGAAGGUUUAACUAAUUUAGUUGGUUUGUCGGGCUACAUAGAACGGUAAAGUCAAGGUAAGAAUUCUUUGAUUCUCUGGGGGACGAUAAGACCCUAGAAGCUUAACAAAAAGAUUAGAAUUUAGGGGUAAAAAUAAAUUUGUUUUACUGGGGCGGUAGCAGUACAUAAUCUAUUGCUUUUUGAUUGAUUUUCUAGAUAGGUAAAAAACGGGUAAGUUACUCUAGGGGUAACAGUACAAUAUACUUGGAGAGACCUUAUCGAUAAGUAUGCUUGUAACCUCGAUGUUGAAUUAAAACGUCUGUGUGGGGAAGAAGAUACAAAUAGAAGGUUUGUUCAACCUUUAAAGUUUUACAUGAUCUGAGUUCAAACCGGA
rnacentral:rRNA from 1 species